CAGAACUGUUGCAGAAGAGAUGCAACAUCACGCCAGACGCUGAGUUAUUUCCCUCCUGCCCUGUCUCACCACGGUUUCCUCCCACUUGGUCACACAUGCACCUUCAAAGGAUCACACAGAGAAUGAAGAAUACAAAAUCAUCCCAAGAAUGAAGAUGAUGAACAUAUAAAGAGUUGUAUGGAGAAAGAAAAUGCCCCGGAGGAGGAAGACAGCAUGACAUUUUCACAGAAC
rnacentral:lncRNA from 1 species